AUUUGCUUUUCAACACCCAUUUCAUAGUGGUACAUGUGGCUUUGAUUAAUAUUACCAUAAAGACUGCUGAAAAUGGAUGUGGUACGGAAACCCAGAAAUGGCAUGAGUUCAACAUCAAACAUGGAUUAGGCACUUAUCGGUUUUUUGUCUAUCGAAAAAGUAUUUUUAAUGCUAUUAUUUUGCAUUCACAGAAUUUUAGCAGGGGAUCAAGUCAAAUCUGGAAGUGUUACAGGAUGGAAGAGUUGCCCUGUAGUUGAAAAAACACUGAGAGUGCAUUACUGUUAAGGUAUGAGAAUCCUUCAUAGUGUCACAGCUAGAAGCCUCUAAUAAUUCUGCUUCUCUGGCUAAAGAACAACUUGUCCUUUAUGUUCAGAGUGUUGGUGAAGUUGGAUACUUAAAUGGCCCUAAAGAUGUUUCACUUUGCUGGCAUUGCAGCGAUGAACAUCAUACAUGGACUCUUUAGGAAAGGAUUUUCAUAUACUGGGAACAUAACUAUCAACUAUGCAACAUUCUACGGGUGCUAUUUUAUCAUUCAAGAGCCUUAUACAAUGAUGUUCAUUUGCAAUUUGUAUGGCCUUUCCCAAGCUUCUGCCAGAAGUUGAAUCUAUGAGUCAUGUAAGUCACAUGAGCAACAAUUGAGAUGCUUAAUGGUGUUUUUCUUUUCUCAGUAUAGGUUAAUAGUAACAUUGGAUCUGAAAAGAUUCUUGGUUGGGGCAAGACACUGAAUAAAUUGUAAUGAUUGGAUGGAUGACAUGACAUUUCUAUACAUCAUUCGGAUUCCCGAGACGGUAUUUUAUAUUUAAAAAAUUGAAGUGCAUAUCUGGGCUCCCUUCCUUUCCGUAGCCCCGUUUCCCCUUGACUCGUAAUAAGCCCGUAGGGGGUCAUGCCCCUACUGUACGGUAUAUAUAAAAAUAACAUAUACCGAGGUUUGGAGGGCUCUGGCCGGAAAGGGGACGUGGGGGUCCGCGUAGUCCGAUGAUGUGUUCACGGAGGGCGACGUGGCUACCCACAAAUCCGAACUAAAGGUUAAUCGCUCCUGUAAAAAUGUUCCAAAUCUUCAGCUCUUCUUCCGGCUUCUCUUAGCCAA